rnacentral:rRNA from 1 species
AGAUUGAACGCUGGCGGCAUGCCUUACACAUGCAAGUCGAACGGCAGCACGGGGGCAACCCUGGUGGCGAGUGGCGAACGGGUGAGUAAUGCAUCGGAACGUGCCCAGUAGUGGGGGAUAACUAGUCGAAAGAUUAGCUAAUACCGCAUACGACCUAUGGGUGAAAGGCGGGGGAUUCGCAAGAACCUCGCGCUAGUCGGAGCGGCCAUGUCUGAUUAGCUAGUUGGACGGGUAAAAGCCCACCAAGGCUUCGAUCGAGUAGCUGGUCUGAGAGGACGACCAGCCACACGUGGGACGUGAGACGACCGGCCCAGACCUCCGUACGGGAGGCCAGCAGGUGGGUAAUUUUUGGAACAAGUGGCGCAACGCCUGA